rnacentral:tRNA from 1 species
UCCCUGGUGGCUCAGAUGGUAAAGCAUCUGUCUACAAUGCAGGAGACCCGAGUUCGAUCCCUGGGUCGGGAA